GUGCCAGCCGCCGCGGUAAUACCAGCUCCGCGAGUGGUCGGGGUGCUUACUGGGCCUAAAGCGCCCGUAGCCGGCCCGGUAAGUCGUCCCUGAAAUCCACGGGCUCAACCCGUGGGCUGGGGACGAUACUGCCGGGCUUGGGGGCGGGAGAGGCCGAGGGUACUCCCGGGGUAGGGGCGAAAUCCGAUAAUCCCGGGAGGACCACCAGUGGCGAAGGCGCUCGGCUGGAACGCGCCCGACGGUGAGGGGCGAAAGCUGGGGGAGCAAAGGGGAUUAGAUACCCCUGUAGUCCCAGCUGUAAACGAUGCGGGCUAGCUGUUGGGCGGGCUUAGAGCCCGCCCAGUGGCGGAGGGAAGCCGUUAAGCCCGCCGCCUGGGGAGUACGGCCGCAAGGCUGAAACUUAAAGGAAUUGGCGGGGGGGCACCACAAGGGGUGAAGCUUGCGGCUUAAUUGGAGUCAACGCCGGAAACCUUACCCGGGGCGACAGCAGGAUGAUGGCCAGGCUAACGACCUUGCCGGACGAGCUGAGAGGAGGUGCAUGGCCGUCGUCAGCUCGUGCCGUGAGGUGUCCGGUUAAGUCCGGCAACGAGCGAGACCCCCACCCCUAGUUGCUACCCGAUCCUUCGGGAUCGGGGGCACACUAGGGGGACUGCCGGCGUAAGCCGGAGGAAGGAGGGGGCCACGGCAGGUCAGUAUGCCCCGAAACCCCGGGGCUGCACGCGAGCUGCAAUGGCGGGGACAGCGGGAUCCGACCCCGAAAGGGGAAGGUAAUCCCGUAAACCCCGCCCCAGUAGGGAUCGAGGGCUGUAACUCGCCCUCGUGAACGUGGAAUCCCUAGUAACCGCGUGUCACCAACGCGCGGUGAAUACGUCCCUGCCCCUUGCACACACCGCCCGUC
rnacentral:rRNA from 1 species